rnacentral:rRNA from 1 species
GGAGUUUGGGCCGUGUCUCAGUCCCAAUGUGGCCGUACACCCUCUCAGGCCGGCUACUGAUCGUUGCCUUGGUGGGCCGUUACCUCGCCAACUAGCUAAUCAGACGCGGGUCCAUCUCAUACCACCGGAGUUUUUCACACUGCACCAUGCGGUGCUGUGCGCUUAUGCGGUAUUAUCAGUCGUUUCCAACUGCUAUCCCCCAGUAUGAGGCAGGUUACCCACGCGUUACUCACCCGUCCGCCACUAAGUGAUUCAAAUGAAUUCCAUCCGAGCAAGCUCUUCAGGUCUUCGGGAGAACCACUCCGUUCGACUUGCAUGUGUUAAGCACGCCGCCAGCGUUUAUC